ensembl:lncRNA
AUGACCUGGAUUGUUUUGGACUUACCUGUUGGCGUUUGGACCUGGACCUACCGAGAACCCGAUUCGUGUACCGAACCCUGCUAUCCUUGACCUCACCUACGGCCUGGGUGGACCAGGACGGAGAAACAAACAAACAGGUUGCCAAUCUGGAGGCUCGAGAGCUGUGGAAAGGUUUCAUCUACUCUGUCAUAGAUAUAAGUCAGACACCCUACAUCACAGUAUAACCCUGUCUGAUUGGCAGUUGCUCCCUGACCUCACAGUACCCCCCUGCGUGAUUGGUUAUUGUAGAUGCCUGUGAGCUCACAUUGGACCCAAUUACAGCAAGCAGAGAGCUGCGUCUGUCUGAAGGCAACAGGAAAGUAACAAUUAUGAGAGAGAAGCAGCCUCAUCCUGAUCACCCAGAGAGAUUUGAAGACUGGUAUCAGGUGCUGUGUAAAGAGGGCCUAACUGGGCAGUGUUACUAGGAGGCAGAGUAUAGUGUUUGGGCUGGUAUAGGAGUGGCAUAUAAAGGAAUCAGCAGGAGAGG